rnacentral:rRNA from 1 species
CCUACGGGGGGCAGCAGUGGGGAAUAUUGGGCAAUGGAGGCAACUCUGACCCAGCAACGCCGCGUGAGUGAUGAAGGUCUUCGGAUUGUAAAGCUCUUUAAGCGGGGACGCAGAAAGCGACUGUACCCGCAGAAUAAGCCUCGGCUAACUACGUGCCAGCAGCAGCGGUAAUACGGAGGAGGCAAGCGUUAUCCGGAAGGACUGGGCGUAAAGGGUGCGUAGGUGGUUUGGCAAGUUGGUAGGGUAAUCGCGGGGCGCAACCUCGGUGCUACUACCAAAACUGUUGAACUUGAGUGCUGGAGGGGUGAAUGGAAGUCCCAGUGUAGCGGUGGAAUGCGUAGAUAUUGGGAAGAACACCAGCGGCGAAGGCGAUUCACUGGACUGUAACUGACACUGAGGCACGAAAGCGUGGGGAGCAAACAGGAUUAGAUACCCCAGUAGUC